UGAUUCCAUGUUUAUGCGUUAGGACAGUGACCUUUAAAGAGAGAACUCAGAUUCAUUAAGACAUGAAGUUAAGCCAAACUCAUGAGGAAAGAGGCUGCAUGAAACCAAAGGGGAAAACAUCUGACAAGCAGGCGCCAACAAGCUUUUGACCGGGCAUGAAAGCAUCGGCAUUAACAGAAGAAUUCCUCCUAAACACGAUCUCUUCUAGGAUGGGGACAGAGAGGACAAAGAGUUUUCCCAGUCGCCUCGCUAUCCACAAGUGGACUUCGUGCCAAGCUUUCCAGCUUAUCUAUUAUACUGAAGGCCUCGUGCAUUUUUCACAGGUCUCUUAGAAUUACCAAUCUGCUGGGCGGGUGAGCACCCUGUACCACUUUAUCACCACUCAGAGGAAGAAAGGCACAGCCGUCUCCACGCCAAAUGGUGUGCCAAAAAUGGAUUCAAACACCAACACUAUCUUUCAAGAAGAAACAAGAGCCAGCUACCCAGAUGGGAAACACAAUGAGAGAUUAAGUAUAGUAAGGAUAAUAAUAAUAAAUAAAAAUGAUCAUAAUCAG